rnacentral:tRNA from 1 species
GGGUGGUUAGUUCAGAGGUAGAACGCUUCCUUGACACGGAAGAGGUCAGAAGUUCGAUUCUUCUACCACCCACCA